rnacentral:rRNA from 1 species
GGACCUGACUGCUAUCGGAUUGAUACUAAGCCAUGCGAGUCUUUGUAGUAAUACAAGGCAGACGGCUCAGUAACGCGUAGUCAAUCUACCCUAUGGACGAGGAUAACCUCGGGAAACUGAGAAUAAUACUCGAUAGAACAUUAUGCCUGGAAUGGUUUAUGUUCCAAAUGAUUUAUCGCCGUAGGAUGGGACUGCGGCCUAUCAGUUUGUUGGUGAGGUAAUGGCCCACCAAGACUAUUACAGGUACGGGCUCUGAGAGGAGUGGCCCGGAGAUGGGUACUGAGACACGGACCCAGGCCCUAUGGGGCGCAGCAGGCGAGAAAACUUUGCAAUGUGCGAAAGCACGACAAGGUUAAUCCGAGUGG